UUUUUUUUCUCUGCGACCUGACGAUCUGUAGACCCAGGUAGAGACACACCGGUCUCCUCACGUGGUGUUGUGGGUUAGGGUUAUGUUGGAAAACAUUCUUGAGCUGUGGAUUAAGCUGAAAUUUUUCAAUGAUGGGACGUAACUCCAGUAAAUAAAAAAAGUCGGACAGGAAUUCUAACUAUCCUCCUUUUACUUCGAAAAAAAUCUUUUUAAUUUAGAUCUAGAUCAACAUUUUCACCGAUUUUGUGUCUAUUUAAAAACUUGCAAUUAUAUAAAAAUUAAUUUUUCGCCAUCUAAAGAAACAUAAUAGCUUAUAAUUUACACAGUGUUACAUUAAGAAGUUUAAAAUUAACGUUUAUUUUCAAGGCAUUAUUUUUUUCUGGAAUUUCCUAACCUAGGAAGGUUAGUUCAAAAAGUGCCUCAGUGAAUUAAUCAAGGUAUGAUUUACAGUUAGUUUGUCAUUCAUCAACUUCUGUGCGUACGGACAAGUUGUGUCCCCUGACUUGUAGCGUCGUGUUGUGGCCCCUCACAGCAUGUAUGUGAGCUACUACCCCUACGGACAGACUCCAUCCCUAGGGCCGCAACCAACGCAAGCCGGUCUCUACUCCGUGCCAGCCCACCUGUCCAGGUCCUACCAAGACCUUAUCCUACCCGUCACUGCCGGCCUUCAGAGCGUCACGGUUGCCGGUCUCGCUCAGCACCAGCUGCAGCAGUCUGCCGGCAUCGCCCAGCAGUCUGCCGGUCUCAAGGCGUCUUCCCCCAUCGUCAUUUGCCGGAAGGUAAGUCAACAGUUUAUUCACCUUUUGGUUCAACU